GAGUUUGAUCAUGGCUCAGAACGAACGCUGGCGGCAUGCCUCAUACAUGCAAGUCGAACGAAAUCUUCGGACUUAGUGGCGAACGGGUGCGUAACGCGUGGGAACCUGCCCUUAGGUUCGGAAUAACAGUUAGAAAUGACUGCUAAUGCCGGAUAAUGUCUUCGGACCAAAGAUUUAUCGCCUUUGGAUGGGCCCGCGUAGGAUUAGGUAGUUGGUGAGGUAAAGGCUCACCAAGCCGACGAUCCUUAGCUGGUCUGAGAGGAUGAUCAGCCACACUGGGACUGAGACACGGCCCAGACUCCUACGGGAGGCAGCAGUAGGGAAUAUUGGACAAUGGGCGAAAGCCUGAUCCAGCAAUGCCGCGUGAGUGAUGAAGGCCUUAGGGUUGUAAAGCUCUUUUACCAGGGAUGAUAAUGACAGUACCUGGAGAAUAAGCUCCGGCUAACUCCGUGCCAGCAGCCGCGGUAAUACGGAGGGAGCUAGCGUUGUUCGGAAUUACUGGGCGUAAAGCGCGCGUAGGCGGCUUUUCAAGUCAGGGGUGAAAUCCCGGGGCUCAACCCCGGAACUGCCCUUGAAACUGGAUGGCUAGAAUACUGGAGAGGUGAGUGGAAUUCCGAGUGUAGAGGUGAAAUUCGUAGAUAUUCGGAAGAACACCAGUGGCGAAGGCGACUCACUGGACAGUUAUUGACGCUGAGGUGCGAAAGCGU
rnacentral:rRNA from 1 species